GUUUUUGAUUCGUUAGAAACAAAAGUCAGUCAAAAUUAAAAAGUUGUUAACGCACGGUCGAAACCGGCUGGUGGGCCUAAGCGCAGCUAUCCCGAAAGACUGCUUUACUAAGACCCGAUACAAUUACAGUGCACAGAGGUGUAGCAGCGCUCUCCCAUCUAACGACGGGAAAGCACCAACCAUUAUUUUAUAAUGAUCCAACCGCAGGUUCACCUACGGUUA
rnacentral:misc_RNA from 1 species